GAAAAAUGUUAUUUUGGGCCGGAGAAAUGACUCAAAAAAGGGUUAUAGCUUACGGGGCCCGGCCAAGGUUAUCACAGAGUUCUAAGAGCAAAGGGACAGGUACAAAUCUAACCACUAUUGUUUGAAGACAAUGGUCUU